UCAUCUUUGGAGCAGCAGUAGACAAGGACCAGAGGACCAACAGAGACGAGAAUCACCACAGGAGUCCAGGAAGAAACAGGAAGGAUGAAGGUGUGAAUACAGAGGUGUGAAAGCCAGGGCGGCCCUUAAAGCCAGGUGAAGCACAAUGAGGAGACUCAUUCAUCGUUGGAGCAGCAUCAGAGAAGGACCAGAGGACCGCCAACGAACAUUGAUUCCCGAACAAGAUUUAUUUUAAAGAUGGACAACCGCACUCUUUGCGAACCAGCAGGGACGAGCAUUUGCACUAAAAGAAAAGGUAACUAUAUAAGACUUAAUUUUUAAAAUAAACAACUUUAUUUAUAAUUCUAUCA
rnacentral:lncRNA from 1 species